rnacentral:rRNA from 1 species
CCUACGGGUGGCAGCAGUGAGGAAUAUUUGUCAAUGGGCGCGAGCCUGAACCAGCCAAGUAGCGUGAAGGAUGACUGCCCUACGGAUUGUAAACUUCUUUUAUAAAGGAAUAAAGUGAGGCACGUGUGCCUUUUUGUGUGUACUUUCUGAAUACGGAUCGGCUAACUCCGUGCCAGCAGCCGCGGUAAUACGGAGGCUCAGAGCGUUGUCCGGAUUUAUUGGGUUUAAAGGGAGCGUAGAUGGGUUGUUAAGUCAGUUGGGAAAGGUUGCGGCUCAACCGGAACAUUGCAAUUGAUACUGGCAGCCUUGAGUACAGUUGAGGUAGGCGGAAUGCGUGGUGUAGCGGUGAAAUGCGUAGAUAUCGCGAAGAACUCCGAUUGCGAAGGCAGGCUACUAAACUGCCACUGACAUUGAGGCACGAAGGUGUGGGUAUCGAACAGGAUUAGAUACCCGAGUAGUC